rnacentral:lncRNA from 1 species
UACAACAGGUCCUUGAAUAAUUUCAUUUUGUUCAAUGUCGUUUUAUGAAAACGUAGAUGAGAAAAGAGAAUCUGUUCUCCGCUGGGGCUACUGUCUCUGUGCAAUUUGCAUAUUCUCCCCAUGUCUGUGUGGGUUUUCUUUGUUUGCUCUUGUUUCCUCCCACAUCCUAAAAAUAUGCACCUUAGUUUACUUGGUGUGUAUACAGUGUCCCAGCAUGAGUAAGUGUGAGUGUCUGGGUGAAUGCACCCUGUGAGGAAAUGACGUCCUGUCUAGGACUGGUACCCACCUUGCGUCCUGAGCUGCCUGGACGUCUUUAGCCACCUGAAAACCUGAACUGGAGUAAUGUGCAUUUCUGAUGAUUGACAGCAAGGAGUACAUAGUCUGCACCAAAAGAACACCUCCCCAUUGUUGCAGAAACCUCCUAUGAUCAUGCACUGGAAAAUCAAAUUGUGGAAGUUUAUGGAAAGAACAUAGGACAUAUUUUAACAGAGGUCUACAGGAAGGGAAAUCAUUAGUAUCUCUAUUGAAAGGCCCACGUGAUUAAGAGCUGAGGUAUCUGAGCAACAGCCAGCAAGGAACUGAGGCCUCCUGCCAAAAGCCUUACGGAGUCUCGCUCUUUCGCCCAGGCCGGACUGCAAUGUUGCUAUCUAUCGCCCAGGCUGGAGUGGAGUGGCACGAUCUCGGCUCACUGCAAACUCCGCCUCCCGGGUUCACGCCAUUCUCCUGCCUCAGCCUCCUGAGUAGCUGGGAUUACAGGAGCCCACCACCGCGACCAGCUAAUUUUUUGUAUUUUUAGUAGAGACGGGGUUUCACCGUGUUAGCCAAGAUGGUCUGGAUCUCCUGACCUCGUGAUCCGCCCGCCUCGGCCUCCCAAAGUGCUGGGAUUACAGGCGUGAGCCACCGCGCCAGGCCACUGACUCUUAAGCAGUUAUCGCAGGUCCAGGUUUUUUACCAUGUUGUCUUUCCUAAGGCUGAGCAGUCUUCUCAAGACUUUUCCUACACAUAGAAGACAGGGAAGUCACGGGGGGGCGGCUUUAAGUACUGAACAAUUGUUUAUUUUAACUUAUGAUUAUAAUUUCUCAUCUAGCAGUACAACUGUUUCAGGGACUUGAUGGGCUGCUUUUUUAUUUGACUCCCCUUCAUUGCAUGUGCUAAAAACCACAGCCACAAUUCUUUGGAGACAUGACUAAGUAUGAUGGACUGAAUGUGUCCCUCCCGCAAAAUGUGUAUGUUGAGAUCCUAAACUUGAACAUGAUGGUAUUUGGAAGUGGGUCCUUUGGAAGGUAAUUAGGUUAUGAGGUUGGAGCACUCAUGAAUGGGAUUAGCAUCCUUAUAAGAGAUACCAAGGGGGGCUUUUGCCCUCUUUUAGCCAUGUAAGGAUGUAAUGAGAAACAAGAGUCUGAAACAAAGAAGAGGACCGUCACCUGAACCCAGCCUCGUCAGCAUCUUGAUCUCUGACUUCCAGCCUCUAGAGCUGUGAGAAAUAAAUUUUUGUUGCUUAAAAGCCACCCAAUGUAUGACACUUGGUUGCCAAAGUCUAAACUAAGAUACUGAGUAACUACGUUUUGUGUAAGAUGAGCGUAUCAGUUUUCCACAGAAAAUACAUGCUUUAUUGAAGUUGCCUCUUUCCAACCUCUAAGUCUCUGAUGUCUGUUUUCAUGAUGGCUAAAAAUUUUCUGAACUUGUUUCCUUAUAAUAUCUUGUCUAAUGCAGCCAACAGUUUACUACCUUUGCUCUUAAAUUCCCUUUUCCAACCUUUGCAUUCAGUAGGUCAUUUGUUUUGGUAAAUAAAAUCUUAAUAGUAUGCAUCUAUAUCCAUUUGUUUAUAUAUUGUCUCUAGCUAUUUUCCUGCUAUGACAGCAGCAUUGAAUAGUUGCAAUAGAGAACAUAUGGCCCCCAAAACCUAGAAUAUUUACUAUCUGCCCCUUUAUAAAAAAUAUUUGCCAACCCUUGAUCUAGAGCCAAAAGCUUAUUAUAUGCAAGUGCUUUACCAAAUUUCUGCUACUACAUAACAAAAAUAGAUCCAAUAGCA